AAUAGAACACCAUCCACUUUAGUCAUAGAAGCUAGUUGCUGUCUACUUUCCCGCUCUUCUAAUAUUUUGGAUAUCAAAGAUGGUGAAAAACGGAGUAUCUCACCAUUACUCUCAAAAACAUGGAUUUGAAGCUGACUCGGAAUUGGUGAAAGCCAAAGCUUCCAAUAUACCAGUAAAAUUCAAAAAUCUUGUUGAGGUGGCUGCUGCGAUCCGUUAUAUGACUGUCCCAAGAGCGAACUCAUAUUUAAAAAAUGUUCUUGCUCACAAAGAGUGUGUUCCUUUUAGAAAAUUCAAAAGUGGAGUGGGGAAAUGUUCCCAGGCAAAGCAGUUCAAAAUCGUAAAUGGACGCUGGCCUAAGAAUAGCGCAAAGUGUAUGAUAGAUCUGUUGCGAAAUGCAUCAGCCAGUUGUGAAUAUCUUGGUAAAGAUCCAUCAGAAUUUUUGAUUCAUCACAUUCAAGUUAACCAAGCUCCUACUUCCACUAGAAGAACCUACAGAGCUCAUGGGAAAAUAACUCCUUAUAUGCGUCAUAACAGUCACAUUCAGAUUGUUCUUAAAGAAAAGAUGGAUUGAAAUAUGCACAUAUUCUUUCUUAUAACUUGCAACUUUUGAGACUGUUCUUUUUAUUAAACACUUGAAUUCAAUAGUC